rnacentral:rRNA from 1 species
AGAGUUUGAUCCUGGCUCAGGACGAACGCUGGCGGCGUGCCUAAUACAUGCAAGUCGAACGGAUCUUCUCCUUCGGGAGAAGGUUAGUGGCGGACGGGUGAGUAACACGUAGGCAACCUGCCUGCAAGACUGGGAUAACAUUCGGAAACGAAUGCUAAGACCGGAUACGCAAGUCUGAGGCAUCUCGGGCUUGGGAAACA